rnacentral:rRNA from 1 species
UACGGAGGGUGCAAGCGUUGUCCGGAUUUAUUGGGUUUAAAGGGUGCGUAGGCGGCUUUUUAAGGCAGCGGUGAAAGACAACAGCUCAACUGUUGCAGUGCCAUUGAUACUGAAGAGCUUGAGUACAGAUGAGGUAGGCGGAAUUUAUGGUGUAGCGGUGAAAUGCAUAGAUACCAUAAAGAACACCUAUUGCGAAGGCAGCUUACUAAGCUGUAACUGACGCUGAGGCACGAAAGUGUGGGGAUCAAACAGG